CCAGAAAUGAGGCCCGCCUCCAGUGAUUGCCUUCUCUGAAUUUGUGUUAAAUCUGUCAGAAUGGUUCAAAUUGGCUGUUACACAGUUUUAUGCACGGCGGGUGUUUUGUUUUGUAUCUUGUUUGCUCCACCUGUGUUGACAUUGCGCUGCUAUGUAUGUGAUUCCAUGGAAUCGCCAGACUGCGGAGACCGUUUCCGCGUGUUGCCAUCCGAUGCAUCUAACUGUCCUUCAGGUUCACGCUGUAUUAAAUUCCGAGGAUUUAGAGGAUCUGGUGUUGUUAAAAGUCCUGAAGUGCACCGUUACUGUUCACUGGAGUAUGAUUCCAAUGGCUGUCAGUCAGCCUACAGAAAUGGGAUAGACGGAGAGGCAUGUGCAUGUACUAGAGAC